GCUGAUCAGCAUGCCGCGUGUGUGAAGAAGGUCCUCUGGAUUGUAAACUGUUUUUGUUGGGAAAAAAACACUCCUACUUGUAGGGGCUUCUUGGUACCGUAAGAAUAAAUAAUCGGCUAACUCCUUGCCAGCAGCCGCCGUAAUACGGAAGAUCCGAGCGUUAUCCGGAAUCAUUGCUGUUAAAGGGUCCGUAGGCGGCCCUGUAAGUCAGCGGUGAAAUCUCCCGGCUCAACCGGGAAACUGACGUUGACCUGCAGGGCUUGAAUUGCCGGGAAGUAACUAGAAUAAGUUCCGGGUGUAUGAAAUGCUUGCAUAUAUCUUGGAAUGAACAUCGCUAGCGAAGGUUACUACCGGGGUCUGAUCUCUCAUUGACGAACGCAUGCGGAGCGAACAAGAUUAAAUACCCUGCCUGGCCACCCCCGCUACAAUGGAUACUAACUGUCCGGCCCAUGGUUCUGGGAUAGGCUAAAGUGAUUAAUAUCCCACCUGGGGAGUCCGAACACUACUUUCACACUGAUAAGACUUGACGGAAUUUGACGGA
rnacentral:rRNA from 1 species